rnacentral:siRNA from 1 species
GUAUCUCAACGGUGGCACAGAUC